CAAUGUUGACAAAAAUUUUCGUCCGGCACUAGAUCAGUUUUGUUUUGCUAAAAAUUUCGCGGCAACCGCUCAGUUUAAUUUGCAUGGAAUCGUUAUUUUAAUUACGUUCAAAACAAAGGCUGUGAUGGAAGACAUACACCCCAGUGCAGACCGGGCGUCCGUUUAGAAAUACCGGGACGGUCGUAAACCAUCGAACGUAACAAGACGGCUCGCAAGCAGGAUAACACCAUACCAAUGUAACUUCCAUCAUCGAAGAAAGUUUUGGCUAUGGCCAUCAUAGAGCUAGAUCCCCAGCAAGAAUAUGGAACCAGCAGCAGCAUCCUUUCCAGUGGCAACAAAACUCCGGCACCCAAGGAUCAAACUUGUGAUACGUUGAAGUGUAAUCUGGUUCUAACGGAAUAGAUGUCGACGAGGAGCUCGAUCUGGAAAAGAGUCGGAAGGCGACGGAAUCUUCAAUUUCAUGUUGGAUCGGCGAUGCGGGAACCCGGUCAUCCGAAGAUAUAAAUGUGGAAGCGGUAACUCUGGCAAUCACGGCAAGAUGACGUCGAACCGAGAUUCUCCAAUAUUUGCUAUCGUUUUUUAUGUAUAUUCAUCAAUUCUGUAUGUUUUUACUUUAUGGUUCAGGGAGUAUCAUGAUAAAGACAAUAAAUAAACUUUUUUUUUAUUUUUCUAUAACAA